CUGUUGUGAGGUCUCUAACUUUAAACUACCCACCUAGUAAUGUUCUAGUGUUAGAAACAACCUUGACAGCUGACAUUCACUAACAAAGGAGCGCUUUCAGAAAGUUUACAUUGUGAUUUACAUUACAAGCAGCAGCUGUUUUAUUUGAUGAACUGUUUGACAGCGUUAUUCGAGCAUUUAUAAUGUGGCCUUUUCGAGCCACGAGAGACGAAAGCGUUCCUUGUUUGGUGCAUGUCAUCGCCUGUAGGUCAGUAACCCUGCCGUGUCUGCUUUGCGUCCACACAAACACACUUUCUGAGAUAUCAUCAUCAUCGGUGUCAAACCUAGUGAGCUGCCUAUCUAGACAGCACAGGCGCGUGGAGAACAUUGUCUGUGUUCUCGACGCCCAGGUGGCCAAGCUUCAGCGGACUCUAGUGCAGCCGGACAGUGCGGAUCUGUCAGAGCAAUGCAAGGAGGAGACCGGGCUCACGGCGGAGGAGCUGUGCAAGGCCGAGCCGCUGGAGAGCGUCCUGCAGCAGUUUUAUCAGUCAGUGUCGGAUGAACUGAAGUCUCUGGGCAGAAGCUCCUACACACUUUGUGUGGAUGGACCACUGCUUAUCCGACAGGUGCUGCACCCUGAGGCCUCCAAAAAGAAUCUAGUCCUGCCAGAAUGCUUCUACACGUUUGUGGACUUGAAGAAAGAGUUCCACAAAUGCUGCCCCAACGCAGGUCCUGUCAAAGAUCUCACUCUGACCUCCAUGCUGGACUAUGUGUGUGUUCCUGCAGCGGCGGAGCAGGAGGCCGGAACGAGGGAGGUGAAGAACAUGGUUCUGCUAAUUCUGCACCUCCUGGCUGAGCCUUACAAUCACAAAUUCUCCACUUCUGAGACCGUAAACUACAAGUUUGAAUCCGGAGCAUGCAGUAAGACAGAAGCUGUGGACAGCGAGACAGUCAUCAGAGCUCGUGGGUUGCCAUGGCAGUCAUCUGAUCAGGACAUCGCUCGCUUCUUCAAGGGCCUCAACAUUGCCAAAGGUGGCGUUGCACUGUGUUUAAAUGCUCAGGGCCGAAGGAACGGGGAAGCUCUGGUGCGCUUCAUGAACUCUGAGCAAAGAGACAUGGCACUCGAACGACAUAAACAUCACAUGGGCAACAGAUACAUUGAAGUGUAUAAAGCGACUGGUGAGGAAUUUCUGAAGAUUGCAGGAGGCACGUCCAAUGAGGUAGCUCAGUUUCUUUCUAAGGAAAACCAAGUGAUAAUCCGAAUGCGUGGGCUUCCGUUCACUGCUAGUCCUCAGGAUGUUCUGGGCUUCCUGGGACCGGAGAGCCCGGUGACUGAUGGGACGGAGGGGCUUCUGUUUGUGAAGUACCCAGAUGGACGUCCCACAGGCGAUGCGUUUGUUCUCUUUGCCUGUGAGGAAUAUGCCCAGAAUGCCCUGAAGAAGCACAAACAGAUCCUGGGCAAGAGAUACAUUGAGCUGUUUCGCAGUACUGCAGCGGAGGUCCAACAGGUUUUGAAUCGCUACAUGUCCACUCCAUUGAUCUCCACGCUUCCUCCUCCUCCGCCUCAGAUGGUGUCUGUACCGGUGUUAGCCUCGUCACCCUUCAUCACCACCGGCAGCACGCGAGACUGCAUCAGGCUGAGAGGUCUGCCGUACACUGCUGCCAUCGAGGACAUCCUGGAGUUUAUGGGAGAACACACCAUCGAUAUCAAACCACAUGGAGUGCACAUGGUCCUGAACCAACAGGGUCGACCCUCUGGUGAUGCCUUCAUUCAGAUGAAGUCAGCUGACCGUGCAUUUAUGGUGGCUCAGAAGUGCCACAAGAAGAUGAUGAAGGACCGUUAUGUAGAGGUGUUCCAGUGCUCCACUGAGGAGAUGAGUUUUGUGCUGAUGGGGGGCACGCUUAACCGCAGCGGCCUCUCGCCGCCUCCGUGCAAGCUGCCCUGUCUCUCUCCACCAACAUAUGCUGCAUUUCCUGCUCCUCCAGCUAUGCUUCCCAGUGAGGCAGCGUUCUAUCAGCCCCCCCUGCUGGCCACCCCAAGAACUCCACUGUCCCCAGCACACAGCCCUGCACCUGCUUUCGCCUACUACUCUCCCCAGCUUUACAUGAACAUGAACAUGAACAUGAACUACACCACGUAUUACCCCAGUCCACCGGUGUCUCCCUCCACGCUGAGUUAUUUUGCGGCCCCGCCGGGAUCAGUAGCAGUGGCCACCCAGCACGCCCCUUCCAUCCUUCCCCCUCAGCCCGGAGCACUGGUGCGAAUGCAGGGUGUGCCAUACAACGCGGGGGUCAAAGACGUCCUCAGCUUCUUUCAGGGAUAUCAGCUGACACCCGAAUAGGUGGAGACAUCAGAUGAUGGUAUGACACCAGCACUCGGAGGAGAAAAUGGGUUGAGUUAAAAGGAAAUGAGUGAUGCUUUGUGUUGGGCACGGGUCUGUGUGUGCUUUCUCUCUCAAAAUAUGUACAUAUAUAUAGCCAUGGAGAUUUUCUAGAUAUUGUAGAUUAUUCUCUGUGUGGUGGGGUUGGUAAAACGGUGUUGAGCAUGCAGCGUCCCUGGCCUCUCGUGUGACUCUGAGCUGUGUGUCUAACACUGUUCACCAAGCGUAGCACAGUGGCGCGUGUGUAAAAUGCUGAGUUCAGGUUUGACUCCUUGCUGAACUGCUGAAAUGGAUCUAGCUCUGUCCACCCUCCAAGUGUGCUUUUAACCUCUGAUCCAAAAUGCACACUAUGGGCCUCUGUGUGUGGGAAGUGUUUCUUUUUUGGCAGGUGGUCUGCACCCCCUCUUUCUUUCCAUAUCUAUAGUGCAUUCACGCUUGGACAUCUUUUGUACAACCCAGUAUGAUGCAAAUGUUUUAUUUCUGUUGUACAGUGUAUUGGGGUGGUGUGUUUGGACAUACACUGGUGCACCUCUUCACUUCUAACACACUGCACUUCAGAUCGGUUUAAAGAGCCUUUUAAAUGAACUACAUUUAGCAAACUCAAUACUCUUCCCUUCAUUUACCUGUAGAUUUAACAUUUUCACACAUCCAUAGGGGUGUGAGCAUAUGUGAUCUAACAUUGAGUUAAUUAAAUUCUGAAUCUUUGAUUUUUAUGAUUCAUGAUUUUUUUUUUUUGCACUUAAAAAUUGUUUGAUUUAUUUCAAAUAAAUGUUCUUUUGAACUUCCUAUUCAUAAAAAAGAAUCCUGAAAAGGUGGAAAAAUAAAUAAUAAUUUUAACAUUAAAAGGGUUUCCUAUAAAAACUCUACCACACUUUUGAGUGGUAGUGUAUAACACACACACACACACACUAAAUUGUUAAAAAUUGUUAUGCUCACCAAGUGUGCAUUUAUUUGAUCCAAAUAUAGUAUAAACAGUAAUUUUGUGGAAUUGAAAUGACUCUUUUCUAUUGUAAAAUGCAAUGUAUUUCUGUGAUGGCAAAGCUUCAUUUUCAACAUCAUUACUCCAGUCUUUCUGUGUCACAUACUUCUUCAGAUAUAAUUCUUAUAUUUUGAUUUGUUGCUCAAGAAACUCAUUUCUUAUCAAUGUGUAAAACAGUUGUGCUUCUGCCCCCCCCCCCAGGAUUCUUUAAUAAAUAGAAAGUUUAAAAGAACAGUUUUUUUAAAAGCAUAUCUUUUUACACCCCUAGUAGACAUGCACACUGCUGUACAUGUAUGAACAUGGUUUAGAGAAGUGCUGAUUGUUGUGAGUGUAACGUGAGGCCUGUGGCACUGACUGUGGCUCAUUGUGCUGUAGUACUCUCCUGAAGAAUACAGCAGCUUGCUUGGAGUGAGCGAUCAGGGCCGGAGUCUGAUUCAGCCCAAAGAGUGGCUUUGUCUGUAGGGCGAGCCUCUCCAGCUCCAGGCAGACUCUGUGCUCAUGCUGUAUAACUGGAGUGGUCAGCG